rnacentral:rRNA from 1 species
CCCUUAGAUGUUCUGGGCCGCACGCGCGCUACACUGAUGCAUUCAACGAGCCUAGCCUUGACCGAGAGGUCCGGGUAAUCUUUGAAACUGCAUCGUGAUUGGGCUAGAUUAUUGCAAUUAUUAAUCUUCAACGAGGAAUGCCUAGUAAGCGUGAUUCAUCAAAUCGCGUUGAUUACGUCCCUGCCCUUUGUACACACCGCCCGUCGCUCCUACCGAUUGAGUGUGUUGGUGAGGAGUUUGGAUUGGCCUCGGAAGGUGGUUCGCCACCGUCCGUAGCUGAGAAGUUCUCCAAACCGCCCCACUUAGAGGAAGGAGAAGUCGUAACA